CCUACGGGAGGCAGCAGUUAGGAAUUUUGGGCAAUGGGCGAAAGCCUGACCCAGCAACGCCGCGUGGGUGACGAAGGCCUUCGGGUUGUAAAGCCCUUUUCUGAGGGAAGAUGAUGACGGUACCUCAGGAAUAAGCACCGGCUAACUACGUGCCAGCAGCCGCGGUAAUACGUAGGGUGCAAGCGUUGCCCGGAUUUAUUGGGCGUAAAGGGCGCGCAGGCGGCUACGCACGUCCGUUGUGAAAUCGCUCGGCUCAACUGGGCGGGGUCAGCGGAUACGGCGUAGCUGGAGCAAGCUAGGGGGCAAUGGAAUUCCCGGUGUAGUGGUGGAAUGCGUAGAUAUCGGGAGGAACACCAGUGGCGAAGGCGGUUGCCUGGAGCUUUGCUGACGCUGAGGCGCGAAAGCGUGGGGAGCGAUCCGGAUUAGAUACCCGGGUAGUCCACGCCGUAAACGAUGUCGACUAGGUGUCGGGGGUAUCGACCCCCUCGGCGCCGCAGCUAACGCAUUAAGUCGACCGCCUGGGGACUACGGCCGCAAGGCUAAAACUCAAAUGAAUUGACGG
rnacentral:rRNA from 1 species